AUUGAACGCUGGCGGCAUGCCUUACACAUGCAAGUCGAACGGUAACGGGCCUUCGGGUGCCGACGAGUGGCGAACGGGUGAGUAAUACAUCGGAACGUGCACGAUCGUGGGGGAUAACGAGGCGAAAGCUUUGCUAAUACCGCAUACGAUCUACGGAUGCCAGCAGGGGACCGCAAGGCCUUGCGCGGACGGAGCGGCCGAUGGCAGAUUAGGUAGUUGGUGGGAUAAAAGCUUACCAAGCCGACGAUCUGUAGCUGGUCUGAGAGGAUGAUCAGCCACACUGGGACUGAGACACGGCCCAGACUCCUACGGGAGGCAGCAGUGGGGAAUUUUGGACAAUGGGCGCAAGCCUGAUCCAGCCAUGCCGCGUGCAGGAUGAAGGCCUUCGGGUUGUAAACUGCUUUUGUACGGAACGAAAAGCCUUCUUUUAAUACAGGAGGGUCAUGACGGUACCGGAAGAAUAAGCACCGGCUAACUACGUG
rnacentral:rRNA from 1 species